AAUUUUUGACAAUGGGGGAAACCAUGAUCCAGCCAUCCCGCGUGUAUGAUGAAGGACUUCGGUAUGUUAAGUACUUUUUGCAGAGAGGCAAAGGUAUCCCCUACUACUGGAUACUGCUGACGGUAUCUGCAGAAGAAGCACCGGCUAACUACGUGCCAGCAGCCGCGGUAAUACGUAUGGUGCAAACGUUAAAGGGAAUUACUGGGCGUAAAGCGUGUGUAGGCGGUUCGGAAAGAAAGAUGUGAAAUCCCAGGGCUCAACCUUGGAACUGCAUUUUUAACUGCCGAGCUAGAGUAUGUCAGAGGGGGGUAGAAUUCCACGUGUAGCAGUGAAAUGCGUAGAUAUGUGGAGGAAUACCAAUGGCGAAGGCAGCCCCCUGGGAUAAUACUGACGCUCAGACACGAAAGCGUGGGGAGCAAACAGG
rnacentral:rRNA from 1 species